GAAUUCAGUCCCUCCCUCAUGUGUAAAAGAACUGUGGAAGGAGAGUUCAGAGCAGACUGAGCUGUUGAAACCAGCUGGUACUUCUGGAUAGCAACCUAUCCAGGAGUAUUUGAUUUUUCAAAACAAAAAAAUACACUCAGAAGGAAACUUCUUAAAGCAAACUGCUGUCUGCAGUUCAUACUUUACAUUUCUUCAGUGCUCACCUCUGCCCCCGGAGAACAUUCCAGGCAGUUGGAAAGAUAAGAAAAAACACGUGAGAAAGAAUUCCUGCUCCAGUUGUCUGCUGCCUGGUGAUCUCGGCGCAUGUCUGAAAUUCACAGAGAAGUCAUAAGAGCAAAAUAAUUUUACUUCUAUUUACGAGCCACAUAUCAUUAAUACAACUUUUUAGUAAAAUGGAGGUUGUGAAGUCAAGUGAUGUUAGUGAAUCUCAACUCCAAAAAAAGAAGAAGAUAAUUAGCAGUCUCUCAACAAGAAGAUAGUUUCAGGAGCCACCUGCCUACGUUGCCAGACCAAGGAUCUAUCACCCAGCAAGGUCACCCACCUUAAAUGCAGCCAGCAAGCACUGCAGCCCUUUCUGCUUCCCUCAAAACCUCCAAAAGCCCGUCAUCUGUUAAAUUAGAACACGGGAGAGCGCUCCCAUACAAAGACGAACUAUGUACAGACACCCGGGAAGCAAGUGGAAAAAGCAACCGGUUUGGGGAUGAAAAGACGAAUGAGAAGAAAAAGUCGUUUAAGGUGACCUUCGCCCACUGGCUGUGCACAGGGAGAGUCUGAAAUUCCAUUCAUCGAAGCACACACCACGAGUUUCAUUCGGCAAAUAUAAAUACACGUUCAUAAGCGGGAGAAAAAUAAACUCAGAGGUUUUCAUCA
rnacentral:lncRNA from 1 species